UUUUGUGGUUCCUGAUUUAUUUUCUCCUGUGUUUGUGUUCUUCUUUGUUCCCAGUUUUAAUAUGUCAUGUUCCUUCCUGUUUGUUUAUUUGUUUUCAUUUUCUCUAUUUAAGUUUACUGGGUUGCUUAUUCCCCGUUUUGAGUCUUUCUCUGCACCUGCGUCCAUCUCGCUCCAUGGCAGUACAAAAACGGCUUUUUGUCCAAAUCGUUCAUUUACCAUAAAUUCCAAAAAAGGAGUACAGAGCUGCAAUUCACAGUGGAUGUUGUAUAUUACUUGCUUGGAUCAAAUCAACUGCAUGGCUUUCUGUUAAAUAUACUGAUAUUGUGGUCCCUCUCAACAACCACAAGCUCCUUUAAGCAGCUGACUGAGGACUGGAAAAUAAAGAUAAUUGACUUUUCCAAAGGAGGGGAAGGCUGUAAAAACAUAUUUAAAUGAUUCCAGC